rnacentral:rRNA from 1 species
GAACCGUUGGGGCUAUGGAAACCUCCUUGAUUGGUGGUAGAAGCGCUUCCGCAUUCAACACAUGCAUAUGCCCCUGUCCGUGGAGGUUACUGUGAACUAAACAGCGUGUCCAAAGCAACCACAUGUCUGGCUGAAUGAUCUAGCAUGGAAUAACAAGGCAUCGACCACUGGAGUCAGCCUUUUUGUUGGUUUUACAUGACCCAGUUGGGCAAUGCAGGGCUUGUGCUUCAUUGAGGUUCUUAGUCAGCUCUACCGAACUGUCUUCCCUCAGUUGGACCUUGUUCCCUAUCGGGAUCAAUGGAAGCCAUCGGGGUGGUAUGUAUUCCGACGUGAGCGGUGAAAUGCUUAGACCGUUGGAAGACAAACGACAGCGAAGGCAUUCCGCCAGAAUGUUUUCAUUAAUCAAGAACGAGAGUGUGGGGAUCGAAGAUGAUCAGAUACCAUCGUAGUCCAUUACCGUAAACUAUGCCAACUCGGCAUUGGGAGUCUGUUCACUUUGAAGACUCUCCCAGCAUCAUCCCCCAAUAACGAGAAAUCCAAGUCUAUGGGUUCAGGGGGGAGUACAGUCGCAAGGCUGAAACUUAAAGGAAUUGACGGAAUGACACCACAAGGCGUGGAGUAUGCGGCUUAAUUUGACACAACACGGGGAAGCUUACCAGGUCAGACACAGUAAGGAUUGACAGAUUGAGAGCUCUUUCUUGAUCCUAUGGAUGGUGGUGCAUGGCCGUUUCUGGUUCGUGGAGUGAUCUGUCUGCUUAAUUGCGAUAACGAACGAGAUCUCUACCUCUAAAUAGGCGCCGGUCUCGCAUGUAAGUAGGGAUGUGUUGGGGGCCUUCGUGUCCCCUCAUGUCCUGAGAGUGCCGGGAUCGCUUCUUAGACGGACUGUGCAUGUCUUUAAUGCACGGAAGAGGGAGUCAAUAGCAGGUCUGUGGUGCUCCUAGAUGUUCUGGGCUGCACGCGCACUACACUGGCACAGUAAACGAGUUGCACCUGCUUCGGCAGUCCUGCUUAGAAGUGAGCGUGGGAAAUCUUAGAAAACUGUGCCGUGCUGGGGAUAGAUGAUUGCGAUUAUUUGUCUUGAACGAGGAAUGCCUAGUAGAGGUACUUCAUCAGAGUACCUUGAUUGUGUCCCUGCCAUUUGUACACACCGCCCGUCGUUGCUACCGAUUGGCUGUAAAAUAGAGGCCUUAAGAGUCGCUUCCGCAAAGCUUUGCUUUUGAGGUUGUGACAAAUCUGGCCAAUAUUUCAUUGCUAGAGGAAGCAAAAGUCGUAACAAGG